UACGUAGGCAGCGAGCGUUGUUCGGAGUUACUGGGCGUAAAGAGUGCGUAGGCGGUUUUCUAAGUUUGGUGUGAAAUCUCCCGGCUUAACUGGGAGGGUGCGCCGAAGACUGGAAGGCUAGAGUAUGGGAGAGGUAAGCGGAAUUCCUGGUGUAGCGGUGAAAUGCGUAGAUAUCUGAAGGAACAUCAGUGGCGAAAGCGACUUCCUGGACCAAUACUGACGCUCAUGUGCGAAAGCGUGGGGAGCAAACAGG
rnacentral:rRNA from 1 species